rnacentral:lncRNA from 1 species
GAAAGGGUGAAAGAUGACUCCUCUAGGAAGACAAAUGUGGGAAUUUGAGAGUAGAUAGUUGGUCGUCAACUCUGGGGUUGGGGACAACAAUAAUGACUAACAAUGAUUGUUGGGGAUUGAAAUAUUUUGGCCUCAAUACUGCGACUAGGGUAAAGUUGGAUAUUCUUAACUCAGUGGUUGGAAACAAAUUAUGAUCAACGUCGGCUCUGAGGCUGGAAAAGGGAUGAGUGUCAACUCUCAGGUCGGGUACAAUGGGAUGAACAUCG